GGUGCGAUGGCCGAGUGGUUAGGCAAACGCCUGCAGAGCGUUUCUACGCCGGUUCGAAUCCGGCUCGCACCU
rnacentral:tRNA from 1 species